AGUCGUAACAAGGUUUCCGUAGGUGAACCUGCGGAAGGAUCAUUGUCGAAACCUGCCCAGCAGAACGACCCGCGAACUUGUGUUUAUGCUCGAGCGGGGACGGCGUGGGGAGCUCUGGCUGCCCUCGUUGGCCCCCUCCUGCUGUGGGGGGUGAGCGGGAUCUCUCGCUCGCUCCUCGCAGCAGAACAACAAACCCCCGGCGCGAGCUGCGCCAAGGAAAAUUUAACGAGAGCGAGCGCUCCCGCCGCCCCGGACACGGAUCGACGUGCGGGAUGCGUCUCCUUCUUUCAAUGAAAAUCAAAAACGACUCUCGGCAACGGAUAUCUCGGCUCUCGCAUCGAUGAA
rnacentral:misc_RNA from 1 species